ACCAUGCAGUCGAGCGGAUGACGGGAGCUUGCUCCUUGAUUCAGCGCCGGACGGGUGAGUAAUGCCUAGGAAUCUGCCUGCUAGUGGGGGACAACGUUUCGAAAGGAACGCUAAUACCGCAUACGUCCUACGGGAGAAAGCAGGGGACCUUCGGGCCUUGCGCUAUCAGAUGAGCCUAGGUCGGAUUAGCUAGUUGGUGGGGUAAUGGCUCACCAAGGCGACGAUCCGUAACUGGUCUGAGAGGAUGAUCAGUCACACUGGAACUGAGACACGGUCCAGACUCCUACGGGAGGCAGCAGUGGGGAAUAUUGGACAAUGGGCGAAAGCCUGAUCCAGCCAUGCCGCGUGUGUGAAGAAGGUCUUCGGAUUGUAACGCACUUUAAGUUGGGAGGAAGGGCAGUAAGCUAAUACCUUGCUGCUAUGACGUUACCGACAGAAUAAGCACCGGCUAACUCUGUGCCAGCAGCCGCGGUAAUACAGAGGGUGCAAGCGUUAAUCGGAAUUACUGGGCGUAAAGCGCGCGUAGGUGGUUCGUUAAGUUGGAUGUGGAGAG
rnacentral:rRNA from 1 species